UUAAACAAUUUAGCAACCUUAAAAACUGUUACACAUUAUGAAAGAUAGAUAAAUUUGUAUGUAAAUAAGAUAUAGAAAGUCUGAAAUUAGUCGAUAUUAAUAAUGCAAACCAAAAUUUUACGACAGUACGAUUUUAUAUUACCUGGCAAAAAUGAUGCGCGUGCACAAUUUCGCUCAUUGCGCCGGCUGGCGGGACACUGGCUAUGGCAACAUGAUGCAGCGCGGUUUAUAGAUUAAAUCGAGUCAAAGAAAUGCGUUGAUAAAGUUUAAGAUCCUAGUGAAAAGAGCCUGUUACUACUUACCCCUGUUACAACAAGCCCCUCUCUCCCCUACUUCUAAUACCAACCAAGAAUAUAAAUUAUUUCAUCUUGAUA